GAGUUUGAUCCUGGCUCAGGACGAACGCUGGCGGCGCGCCUAACACAUGCAAGUCGAACGAGCGAGAGAGAGCUUGCUUUCUCGAGCGAGUGGCGAACGGGUGAGUAACGCGUGAGGAACCUGCCUCAAAGAGGGGGACAACAGUUGGAAACGACUGCUAAUACCGCAUAAGCCCACGGUUCGGCAUGGAGCAGAGGGAAAAGGAGCAAUCCGCUUUGAGAUGGCCUCGCGUCCGAUUAGCUAGUUGGUGAGGUAACGGCCCACCAAGGCAACGAUCGGUAGCCGGACUGAGAGGUUGAACGGCCACAUUGGGACUGAGACACGGCCCAGACUCCUACGGGAGGCAGCAGUGGGGAAUAUUGCACAAUGGGGGAAACCCUGAUGCAGCGACGCCGCGUGGAGGAAGAAGGUCUUCGGAUUGUAAACUCCUGUUGUUGGGGAAGAUAAUGACGGUACCCAACAAGGAAGUGACGGCUAACUACGUGCCAGCAGCCGCGGUAAUUC
rnacentral:rRNA from 1 species